UAAUUUUGACGGGUAAACUGCCCCCUUCCCUGCUGUCAUAGAAUACUAGACGACGACUUCGGGGCAACAAAAAAUAUUUCCUCCGCUGAGGAAAUAACUACUAACCAAAAAUAAGGCGCGGAAUAAAAGCGCGGUUUCAAAAUAGUAGCGCGGAGUUAGAAAAAAAGAAAAAAAUUAAGGACUUUAGUCAAACACGAAGCUGUUAUUUCUCUCCGUCCCACUCCCUCUCCCUCGCCCUCUCCCUCUCCCUCUUCCUCUCCCUCGUCGCUGCAAAUACACAGACUGACCGACUGCCUCCUUCGGCUGGAGAUCGAAACUGCCGUCAAAUUCAAAGCCCUCAAAAAGAGGGGCAAAUGUUUUGUGGAAGGGACUGAGGAACAGGGCAAAGGUUUUGGAAUCUGCACUAGAUGAUGCUAAUAGUAGAGGAUCCGACAUUGAAGAAUCAUGCAAGGCAAGUGAUGUAGAGAAGACGAGAGCUGCAACUGUGAUUAAUAAAAUCUUGUCCAGAGUUAAUGGCCAUCCUAGCUGGUUUGUGGGAAGAGAUCCAGCUUAUCAGGGAACUGAUCUGCACUUGCCAGACAUGAGCAAGGAGUUUAUGCAAGUGAUGCCUUCUUCAAAUUGACAGGUAACAUGUACAAUGUUAGCUAUUUGCCAGGAUCUCUCUAAACCCUUCUAAACUCCUUGUUGUUUGCAAAUCUUUUGAAUAAUCCAACAUAUGUAGUUGUUACACAACUCAUAUGUAGAUGUGUACAAUCUUGGCAGAGCUGUAACUAUGCGUUUUGUGUUGCACAAGUAAUCCUGUUCUUAAGAGCGGUUCAGUUUACUGCUGCAAACUUUCAUCGCGUAUUGUUGACAAAUUGGUUAGGCUUUCAUGGUUUAUCGUAACACUAUGGUGUUAUUGCGGCCCUUCCCCAUUUUCUAAUUUUUAACAGCUUGUUGUAUCAAAGUGUCUUCUAUUGAAUGUGUUUUCUUCAUGCCAAGGAUGCUUGUUUGCUAUUGGUUCUUUAUACGAUUCUCUCUCCUAUCAGAAACCCAGACCCAAACCAGUUGCCGACACCCAGAUCAUUGUAAGUCUAUAAGCCUUUCUCUUGUUUGAAAUUUCAAUUUUCAAGGUUCGAUCCAUCUAUACUCGCUUAAUCUGUAAUUUGGAGUUUAUUUCUUCUUUUUUAAUUUUCUGGUCAAUAGAUGUUUUCAGGUCCAGUGUUCUUCUUUCGAAAGAUUUCUAAUAGCUUGGUUUGACAAGUGCAAGUCUAUAUUAACUUAGUCUUCUCUUCAUCAAAAUUAUAAUAAUAAUACUAUUAAAUUAGUCUUGUUAUUUUUAUUCCAGGUGCGUGUGCUUGAAAUUAAUGUAGUUGCACUUGCUUAUGAGGCUGGUGAUGGUGAAUUUUAUCUCAAGUAUAUCGUAUGAAUUAUCCCUCUGUCAUGUUUUCUCAUGGAUUCCUAACUUGUGUUACUCUACCAUUCAGCUAAUGACAAGAAUAUAUUGUAUAUUUUGUCCCUCUAUUGUGCACAACACUCUGAGCAAGGAGCUUUGUACUGGAUAUUAUUGCGAAGCUAUUGCUAAACCGAUAUUGAGGAAUGAGAGUAGGAUAGGAUUAUGGUAUAAUAUAAUACUUUGUAUAACCACUGUACAUAUACAUAUUACUAAUCAAAGCAGCAUUAUUAGAAAUUAUUUUGCGUUUUCAAGCGUUUA